rnacentral:rRNA from 1 species
GGACGUGCAGGUCUGACGUGAAAGCCCCGGGCCCAACCCGGGAGGUGCGUCGGAAACCGCAUGUCUUGAGGGCCAGAGAGGCCGGUGGAAUUCGCGGUGGAGCGGUGAAAUGCGUAGAUAUCGCGAGGAACACCCGUGGCGAAGGCGACCGGCUGGAUGGACCCUGACGCUGAGGCACGAGAGCGUGGGUAGCAAACGGGAUUAGAUACCCCGGUAGUCCACGCCCUAAACGAUGGGCAUUAGGUGUAGGCGAUACAGCUCGCCUGUGCCGAAGCUAACGCAUUAAAUGCCCCGCCUGGGAAUUACGGCCGCAAGGCUGAAACUCAAAGGAAUUGACGGGGGCCCGCACAAGCGGUGGAGCACGUGGUUUAAUUGGAUGCAAAGCCAAGAACCUUACCAGGCCUUGACAUGUCGGCCAGUAGGCCGUCUGAAAGGAUGGCCGAGUCCUGCUUUGCAGGACAACCGUCACAGGUGGUGCAUGGCUGUCGUCAGCUCGUGCCGUGAGGUGUUGGGUUAAGUCCCGCAACGAGCGAAACCCCUAUCCUUAGUUGCCAGCAUUGAGUUGGGGACUCUAAGGACACUGCCCGGGAGAACCGGGAGGAAGGUGGGGAUGACGUCAAGUCCCUAUGCCCCUUAUGGCCUGGGCGACACACGUGCUACAAUGGCCGGCACAGAGGGUAGCCACACCGCAAGGUGAAGCGAAUCCCUUAAAACCGGUCUCAGUUCGGAUUGGGGAUUGCAACUCAUCCCCAUGAAGGAAGAAUCGCUAGUAAU